rnacentral:rRNA from 1 species
UACGUGAAACCGUUCAGGAGUAAACCUGAGAAACCCGAAAGGUCGAUGGGUUGAGAUUCAAUACGUUUCGGCUUCGACGUCGGUUAGUUUGUAUGACAAUCUAAUGUUUCGGCAUUUGCUUGCAUCUACUAUAUCGUACGAAUCGUUGUUGAACGUUGUGCAUUUCUCUCCCGGUAGGACGUCGUGAUUCGUUGGGUGUCAGUCUACGGUUAAAUAGUGGAGCUUGUUCGUUUUAUAUCUUACGAUAUGGCGACAAACCUGUUUUAUCCUGGCUGACUACUUGACGAUCUGAUAAGGUGUAAGGCGCUAAUUAUUAGCGUUCAACCCAUAUGCAAGCUACACUUUGAUUUGUUUGUUAUUCGGAACUAUUUGGGCCGUUUGCAACGUCAAGUGUCUGUUGGCUAUGGUGUUCUUGAACUGUCCUUUUAACACUAUUCAGCGACGCUCUAGAUUUGGGUAAUUUCAGGACCCGUCUUGAAACACGGACCAAGGAGUCUAGCAUGUACGCAAGUCAUUGGGAAAUAACUAAACCUAAAGGCGAAAUGAAAGUGAAUUGAGUGGUUCUGGAUUUAUUCAGUUCCAUUUCUUGUAUGGGAAGAUGAGUGAUGUCGGUUCGUCCGUGCACUUCGCAUUCCCGGGGCGUUCCUUAUUCUCAUUGCGAGAUGGGGCGCACCAAGAGCGUACACGCUGGGACCCGAAAGAUGGUGAACUAUGCCUGGUCAGGACGAAGUCAGGGGAAACCCUGAUGGAGGUCCGUAGCGAUUCUGACGUGCAAAUCGAUCGUUAGAACUGGGUAUAGGGGCGAAAGACUAAUCGAACCAUC